GUCCACGCCGUAAACGAUGAGUGCUAAGUGUUAGAGGGUUUCCGCCCUUUAGUGCUGAAGUUAACGCAUUAAGCACUCCGCCUGGGGAGUACGGCCGCAAGGCUGAAACUCAAAGGAAUUGACGGGGGCCCGCACAAGCGGUGGAGCAUGUGGUUUAAUUCGAAGCAACGCGAAGAACCUUACCAGGUCUUGACAUCCUCUGACAACCCUAGAGAUAGGGCUUCUCCUUCGGGAGCAGAGUGACAGGUGGUGCAUGGUUGUCGUCAGCUCGUGUCGUGAGAUGUUGGGUUAAGUCCCGCAACGAGCGCAACCCUUGAUCUUAGUUGCCAUCAUUUAGUUGGGCACUCUAAGGUGACUGCCGGUGACAAACCGGAGGAAGGUGGGGAUGACGUCAAAUCAUCAUGCCCCUUAUGACCUGGGCUACACACGUGCUACAAUGGACGGUACAAAGAGCUGCAAGACCGCGAGGUGGAGCUAAUCUCAUAAAACCGUUCUCAGUUCGGAUUGUAGGCUGCAACUCGCCUACAUGAAGCUGGAAUCGCUAGUAAUCGCGGAUCAGCAUGCCCGGUGGAAAAACCUUUCCCCGGGCCCUUUGUACACACCGGCCCGUCACACCACGAAGAGUUUGUAACACCCCGAAGUCGGGUGGGGUAACCUUUUUUGGAGCCAGCCGGCCUAAGGUGGGACAGAUGAUUGGGGUGAUCAGAAGAAAGACCCCGUGAAAAACAUAUAAAAAAAGGAAAAAAGGGGGCCGCCGCGGGGAAAGG
rnacentral:rRNA from 1 species